GUGCUCGCUGUGGCACCUACACUAAAAAUGGAACGAUACAGCGAAGAUGAGCAUGGAUGCAUGCAAGGAUGACAUGGAAAUUUAUGAAGUGUCCCAUAUUUUU
ensembl:snRNA U6 U6 spliceosomal RNA